rnacentral:misc_RNA from 1 species
AACGCACCUUGCACCCUUUGGCAUUCCGAAGGGUAUGCUCGUUUGAGUGUCAUUGUUACUCUCACACUCUCUGAUCCAUUUGGAUUUUGGAGAGCGGUGGACUUGGGUGUUGCUGCUUUGGUUGUGGCUCACCUUAAAUGCAUCAGUGCACCUCUCAUUUGGACAUAGUACGGCGUGAUAAGUGUCUUCGCCGGCACCUCACAAGAGGGUGGCUAAUUGGGAGCUCUGUGCUUUCGAACUGUCUUUUGACACUCUCUGACACCUUGACCUCAAAUCGAGUAGGAUUACCCGCUGAACUUAA